UAGUGUGAGUGUCACGGAGCAGCCAUC
rnacentral:piRNA from 1 species